CAGCCGCCACGGUAAUACGGAGGGUGCAAGCGUUAAUCGGAAUUACUGGGCGUAAAGCGCACGCAGGCGGUUUGUUAAGUCAGAUGUGAAAUCCCCGAGCUUAACUUGGGAACUGCAUUUGAAACUGGCAAGCUAGAGUCUUGUAGAGGGGGGUAGAAUUCCAGGUGUAGCGGUGAAACGCGUAGAGAUCUGGAGGAAUACCGGUGGUGAAGGCGGCCCCCUGGACAAAGACUGACGCUCAGGUGCGAAAGCGUGGGGAGCAAACAGGAUUAGAUACCCGCGUAGUCCCUGUCUCUUAUAC
rnacentral:rRNA from 1 species